CUUUCGUGCUCAGGGAUCCAUCCAGACAGUACUCAUUUCUUCCUUGUAGCGUCUUUCUUAUGGACUAACACGAUCGCUUUUACACUCCACCGCACAGUUGUUAGACACAAAACUGAUGUUGAAGAUAUGGAGGCAAUGUUUCAUUUGUAUGUUUGGGUUGUGACACUUGUGUGCUCUAUUGGGAAUAACCAUAGCCACCUAGGUACAUGGUGUUGGUCACAAUCAGGGCGUACUGGAAAGGCGCUUAACCUCAUAACAUUUCACAUGCCACUUUGGGGUGCAGUUCUUUACAAUGGUUUUUACAUAUUUUCAAGUGAUAAGCAUGCUGGAGAAUGCAAGACAUAAAUUAUAGAUGGCGGGUGGCAUGUCAGAUUUGGUUUACCAAUCAGAUUCAAGAGCAGAAAUGAAGGUGUAUUGUGCUGCAACUGGUUUCCUAGGGCUUUGAACCGGUGGGGGUACUAUCCACUCAUCCUGAUAGGAUCAUAGGCUUUUGGCACAAUCAACCGCAUUCAUGACUUUGUUGAACAAAGUCAUAAAAUGUUUUGGCUCCCAGUUCUUGAUGUUGGGACAGCUGGACUCACGGUAUCUUGCUAUUUUCUAUGGCAAGACCUGUUCAACUCCCUGUGGCUUGAACUCCUCAGUGCGACGGGCAAUAUAUGAAAGAUUGGAUUUGUUUUGGCCAGACAGGCUUAAAAGAUGGUUCCCCAAGAGUUCAAAGUUUAGGAACCAACAGCUAAGGAGUGAACUAGUGGCGCUGAAAAUUGAAGAUCCGCAGCAGCAAGUUGGACGUAUGUUGAGUUGCCCAUUUUUUCAACAUUAUCUCAUUAACUUAACUGAGGAUGGAAUGAAGAAACGGAAGAGGAGCACAGCAAAGUACAUCAGUACAGAGUCGAUUGCGCUCCUCCUCUCCAUGGCAAUUCCGAUCUCACUAACAUCUUCAAAUUCCACUUGUUCCACAUUAGGACUGUUUGAAAUUGUUCUGGUAGAUUUAUAUCUAGAUGGUUUGGUUAGAGUAGAAUUUCGUGCAGAAGCUGUGAUUAUGCAAAGAUGGAAUUUUACCUGUAGAGUAAAGUCUUGAUUGAUCUUUGAUUAGGAAUUUCACAAUGUUUUCCCAAGAACAAGCGUCAUUAUCAAUCGAUCCAAGAAGGGUGAAAAUUGAUCUCAUUUUUUA